rnacentral:rRNA from 1 species
UACGGAGGGUACAAGCGUUGUUCGGAAUUACUGGGCGUAAAGGGCGCGUAGGCGGGUUAGUGUGUCGAUUGUGAAAUCCCCAAGCUCAACUUGGGAAUUGCAGUCGAAACUACUGAUCUUGAAUGCUCAAGAGGGUGGCGGAAUUCCAGGUGUAGAAGUGAAAUUCGUAGAUAUCUGGAGGAACACCGGAGACGAAGGUGGCUACCUGGUGGUGCAUUGACGCUGAGGCGCGAAAGCGCGGGGAUCAAACAGG